CAGUCGCCACGGUAAGACGGAGGGUGCUAGCGUUGUUCGGAAUCACUGGGCGUAAAGGGCGCGUAGGCGGCCUGUUAAGUCGGAUGUGAAAGCCCGGGGCUCAGCCCCGGAACUGCAUCCGAGACUGGCAGGCUUGAGACCGGGAGAGGAGGGUGGAAUAUCCAGUGUAGAGGUGAAAUUCGUAGAUAUUGGAUGGAACACCGGUGGCGAAAGCGGCUCUCUGGCCCGGAUCUGACGCUGAGGCGCGAAAGCGUGGGGAGCAAACAGGAUUAGAUACCCCUGUAGUCCCUGUCUCUUAUAC
rnacentral:rRNA from 1 species